rnacentral:rRNA from 1 species
GACAGAGGGUGCAAACGUUGCUCGGAAUCACUGGGCGUAAAGGGCGUGUGGGCGGGAAGGAAAGUCAGAUGUGAAAUCCCUGGGCUCAACCCAGGAACUGCAUUUGAAACUCCCUUUCUUGAGUACCGGAGAGGAAGGUGGAAUUCCUGGUGUAGAGGUGAAAUUCGUAGAUAUCAGGAGGAACACCGGUGGCGAAGGCGGCCUUCUGGACGGUAACUGACGCUGAGACGCGAAAGCGUGGGGAGCAAACAGG